GAAACACCAUUUUACCCCAAAAUUCCUCAUCAACCCUCAUUUUAUCCCAAAUUCACCAACCUUCAUUCUCCGCGGCCGGCGUCACGGUUGCGCCGCCGUCACUCCGCUUGCUCGCGCCGCCGCCGUGCUCUAUUGCUGUCAUGCCGCUGUCGCUCCCCACUGUCGCUCCUCUUGCUCACGCCGCCUGUCGCUCCGCUGCUGCCGCGCCGUCGUUGCUCCUUCUCUCUGUUGCCGCCGUCGCUCUUCCUACCUUGGUCCUUCUCCGCUCUCUCUCAAUCAAGCUCACAAGAAGAACCAGGAUCGGAUAAAGUUAGAGGAUGGUCAAGUUAAGUUGCAAUCCCGAUUAGAACAAGAAGAAGAAGCUAAAGCUGCUUUGUUAGGAAGAAUUCAACGGCUGACUAAACUGAUUUUGGUCUCCACAAAAGCAUCACAUUCAACCAGAUUUCCUAACAGGCCUGGUCCUAGUAGAAGACAUUCCUUUGGAGAAGAGGAGACAGGGCAACUCUUUCCAUGUUCCCUACAUGUUUUUAAUCAUCAACUAUGUUUAUAGCUGGCAUACUUCCAUACAAGAGGCGGGAUUUAAUCUUGAAUGAGGAAAAUAUUGAUAUGUUAAUCUGGAGGGAAAUGUUGAAACAACUGUUGAUUCUUUGAAGGAGGAAAAAAAGACAGAGAAACAUGGACUACUAAACUGGUUGAAGUUACGUUUUUAGAUAUGGAGAUUGAGAGAAGUGGAGAAAACAAAAUUCUUGGACUGAGAUUCACUUCAAGUCACAAGCGUUCAAAGAGUCUUCCUGUUAAGAAAGGAGUGGAGGAACAUGAUAAUCAACUUGAGGCAUUAGACUCAAUGAAGCUGGAUAUGGGUCACCUCACAAAAUGCACUAAAGCUAGAAAUGAAGUCCACACUACUCUCAAGCAAGAGUGAAGCAUUUUAUGGAAAGCAAGAAGCUAGUUGCAUCCAUCUGCUCGUGGCCAACAGAUUUUAGCUGCUGAAGAUGUGCUCAAGGUACUCUUAGAUCAUAUUUGAUAUAUUUCACAUUUGUUUCUCAACGACCACUGAAGUUGAGCUGUGUAGGCGAAACGUGUGUAGUGUCUAUAUUUAAAUGUUUAUUUGUCUUGUUAUUUAAUAUUCUGUAUAAAUUGUAUUUCUAUAUUUAAAAGUUUAUUUGCAUUAAUUGUUUACUAUUUUUUAAAUUAAAAAAUAAUUAAAAAUAUAGCUAUUAAA